AAUCAACGCUGGCGGCGUGCCUCAGACAUGCAAGUCGAACGCGAAAGUUCCCUUCGGGGGAUGAGUAGAGUGGCGCACGGGUGAGUAACACGUAGGUAAUCUACCUUCGGAUGGGGAAUAACAACCGGAAACGGUUGCUAAUACCGCAUAAUGCAGCGGCACCUAAUGGUGACAGUUGUUAAAGCGGGGGAUCGAAAGACCUCGCGUCUGAAGAGGAGCCUGCGGCGGAUUAGCAGUUGGUAGGGUAACGGCCUACCAAGGCUACGAUCCGUAGCCGGCCUGAGAGGGGCGGUCGGCCACACUGACACUGACAUACGGGUCAGACUCC
rnacentral:rRNA from 1 species